rnacentral:rRNA from 1 species
UACAUAUGGGGCAAGCGUUGUUCGGAAUUACUGGGCAUAAAGGGUGCGUAGGUGGUCUAUUAAGUCAGGGGUGAAAUCCCGCGGCCCAACCGUGGAACGGCCUUUGAUACUGGGAGGCUUGGAUUCGGGAGAGGGAUGUGGAAUUCCAGGUGUAGCGGUGAAAUGCGGUAGAUAUCAAGAGGAACACCUGAGGUGAAGACGGGUUGCUGGGCCAACACUGACGCUGAGGCGCGAAAGCCAGGGGAGCAAACGGG